GCCCGGGUGGUGAAAUUGGUAGACACACAGGACUUAAAAUCCUGCGGGCCUAACAGCUCGUGCCGGUUCGAUUCCGGCCCCGGGCACCA
rnacentral:tRNA from 1 species